AGCUAAUAGAUACCCCGGUAGUCCCAGCUGUAAACGAUGCAGACUCGGUGAUGGACUAGCUUAAAUGCUAGUCCAGUGCCGCAGGGAAGCCGUUAAGUCUGCCGCCUGGGUAGUACGGUCGCAAGACUGAAACUUAAAGGAAUUGGCGGGGAGCACCACAAGGGUGAAGCCUGCGGUUCAAUUGGAGUCAACGCCGGGAAGUCUUACCGGGGGCGGACAGCAGAGUGAAGGUCAAGCUGAAGACUUUACUAGACAAGCUGAGAGGAGGUGCAUGGCCGUCGCCAGCUCGUGCCGUGAGGUGUCCUGUUAAGUCAGGUAACGAGCGAGACCCCUGCUUCUAGUUGCUACUUUUAUUCUUCGGAGUAGAGGGGCUAAUUAGAAGGACUGCCGCCGCUAAGGCGGAGGAAGGAGGGGGCGUACGGCAGGUCAGUAUGCCCCGAAACCCUCGGGCCGACACGCGGGCUGCAAUGGUAAGUACAAUAGGUUCCGAUUCCGAAAGGA
rnacentral:rRNA from 1 species